rnacentral:rRNA from 1 species
GAUGAACGCUAGCGGCAGGCUUAACACAUGCAAGUCGAGGGGCAGCGCGGGUAGCAAUACCUGGCGGCGACCGGCAAACGGGUGCGGAACACGUACAGAACCUACCUUGAUCUGGGGCAUAGCCCGAAGAAAUUCGGAUUAACUCCCCAUAAUAUUAUUGGAUGGCAUCAUUUGGUAAUUAAAAAUUUAUUGGAUCAAGAUGGCUGUGCGUCCCAUUAGCUAGUUGGUAGGGUAACGGCCUACCAAGGCGACGAUGGGUAGCUGGUGUGAGAGCACUACCAGCCACACGCGCACUGAGACACGCGCCCGACUCCUACGGGAGGCAGCAGUGAGGAAUAUUGGUCAAUGGACGCAAGUCUGAACCAGCCAUGCCGCGUGAAGGAUGAAGGCCUUCUGGGUUGUAAACUUCUUUUAUCUGGGAAGAAAACUACGGUUUCUACUGUAGCCGACGGUACCAGAGGAAUAAGCACCGGCUAACUCCGUGCCAGCCGCCGCAGUAAGAC